rnacentral:rRNA from 1 species
GAUGAACGCUGGCGGCGUGCCUAAUACAUGCAAGUCGAGCGAACAGACGAGGAGCUUGCUCCUCUGACGUUAGCGGCGGACGGGUGAGUAACACGUGGAUAACCUACCUAUAAGACUGGGAUAACUUCGGGAAACCGGAGCUAAUACCGGAUAACAUGUUGAACCGCAUGGUUCAACAGUGAAAGACGGUCUUGCUGUCACUUGUAGAUGGAUCCGCGCCGCAUUAGCUAGUUGGUAAGGUAACGGCUUACCAAGGCAACGAUGCGUAGCCGACCUGAGAGGGUGAUCGGCCACACUGGAACUGAGACACGGUCCAGACUCCUACGGGAGGCAGCAGUAGGGAAUCUUCCGCAAUGGGCGAAAGCCUGACGGAGCAACGCCGCGUGAGUGAAGAAGGUCUUCGGAUCGUAAAACUCUGUUAUUAGGGAAGAACAAAUGUGUAAGUAACUAUGCACGUCCUGACGGUACCUAAUCAGAAAGCCACGGCUAACUACGUG